UACGAAGGGGACUAGCGUUGUUCGGAUUUACUGGGCGUAAAGCGCGCGUAGGCGGAUCGCUAAGUCAGGGGUGAAAUCCCAGGGCUCAACCCUGGAACUGCCUUUGAUACUGACGAUCUGGAGAUCGGGAGAGGUUGGUGGAAUUCCGAGUGUAGAGGUGAAAUUCGUAGAUAUUCGGAGGAACACCAGAAGCGAAGGCAGCCUCCUGGGCCAAUACUGACGCUCAUGCACGAAAGCGUGGGGAGCAAACAGG
rnacentral:rRNA from 1 species